GAUGAACGCUAGCGGCAGGCCUAAUACAUGCCAGUCGAACGAGAUUAAGAGGCUUGCUUCUUAUGAAAGUGGCGCACGGGUGCGUAACGCGUAUGCAACCUACCUUAAUCAGGGGGAUAGCCCGAAGAAAUUCGGAUUAAGACCGCAUAAAAACACAGGAUAGCAUUAUCCAAUGUUCAAAUAUUUAUAGGAUUAAGAUGGGCAUGCGUGUCAUUAGCUAGUUGGCGGGGUAACGGCCCACCAAGGCGACGAUGACUAGGGGAUCUGAGAGGAUGACCCCCCACACUGGUACUGAGACACGGACCAGACUCCUACGGGAGGCAGCAGUAAGGAAUAUUGGUCAAUGGAGGGAACUCUGAACCAGCCAUGCCGCGUGCAGGAAGACAGCCCUCUGGGGCGUAAACUGCUUUUAUUCGGGAAUAAACCUUUCUACGUGUAGGAAGCUGAAUGUACCGAAGGAAUAAGGAUCGGCGAACUCCGU
rnacentral:rRNA from 1 species